GUCUGAAGACUGGCUGAGACCUCUGUGAAGACUCCACUGGGACAUCCCACCAACACCAAGAAACUGCUGGAAUUCAUUCAACUUCACAGUUUGUUGUAGUGGGGGCUGGGGAAACCAUCUUGGAUAACCUACAGGAUUGCUCUGGAUGCAGAUGCUAAUGGAUACUCCUAAGGAUAAAGCAUAUAAAGUUUGUGCACAGCAGUCGGUACUGAAUGAGAGCUCACCAAAAGAAGCCAUCCCAGAAUAAAAAUUUUCUCUUAAGGACACAGAAAGAUCUGGAAAAAUCUAAGAAACACC